rnacentral:lncRNA from 1 species
AUUGGAUAUAUAUGCCAGGUGUAUUGGAUAUUAUGAUAGGUGUAUUGAAUGUAUGCUAGGUCAUUAAAGACUGCCACAUCAGCAGCAGCUUAGGACAUAGACCAUUGUUUGGUGAACCGCCUAUAUAGAGUAAUAGCUCCUUGUAUUAGAUAAGUUUGGUUGUAAUAACAGUUUUUUGAGAUAUCAGAAAUACAUCUUUCUUCUCCUCUAAGCUUCUUCAUGCUUUUCAAUUCUGCAAUUCUUUCAUGAAGGUUAAGAUGGUAUCACGAGCUUAGAAUCGCUUGCGCUCUUGGUGCUGGGUUAAUUUUCCGCUGCUCAAUUGAAUUUUGAUGGUGAUUUCGUUCCCUUUUCCUCUGUUAUUUGGUGCGAUAUAGCUGUACAGUUUUGCAGUUCUUGAUGUUUGUGAUUUUUUUUUUUGAAAUUGAUGAAUGUUUGAAGGCCGAUGCCGUACCGUAAAUCAUUACUAUUUUGUUGAUUGUUGAGAUGUUCCGAGGCCGAUGCCAAGAAUGAAGUGUUGUUAUGAUUUUCUUGAUUCUUUGAUGAAGGCCGAUGCCAUGUAUUUGAUUCUUGAAGAUUUAUAGAUUGUUAUAGUUUGGAAAUUGAUUUGUUGGUGGUUUCUUCAUUAGUGCUCUGGUUUUUUGGGCGAAAUUUGGCUACUUUUUCAUCUGGGUUUUUCUUGUUGUGGUGCAAUUUUCUCUGGGUAUAGGUUGAUAUCAUGUUUUGAUCUUUUGGGAAAAUCUUCCUGCUAGUAAUCAUGUCGACUUCUGUAAAGAUUGAGAGUUUGUUGGGAAUGCUCACUAUUAAGCUCAAUGAUGAAAACUUUAUCAAAUGGAGUUUUCAAUUUUGUUCUGUGCUUCGUGGAUACGAUCUUCUUGAUCAUUUCACGGGUGAAUCAGUUUGUCCUCCCAAGUUUGUUCUUAUUCCUGAUCUUGGUGUUACGAACGAAAUUAGUAUUACUUAUAAAGAAUGGGUUAAGAAAGAUAUGGCAUUGCUUAGUCUUUUAAUUGCUACACUAAGUGAUGAUGCGAUUGAGCAUGUAGUGGGAUGUAAGACUUCAUAUGAGGCCUGGACAGCUUUGCAAGAUCGCUAUAUGUCUGUUUCUAAAGCUAGUGUGAACCAUUUGAAAGCUGAAUUACACACUAUGCAGAAGGGUGGUGAUUCUAUUGAUAAAUACUUGCUGAGAUUAAAGGGUAUUAAGGAUCAACUACAAGCAGCUGGUGAAAAGGUUUGUGAUAAUGAUCUUAUAAUCGCUGCUCUUACUGGUUUACCUCCUGACUAUGAUAUCAGUCGAAUGGUAAUGGUCCUAUUGCUGGAAAUGGUUUUUCAUCCAAUUCUAAUAAUGGUGGUAAUCAAGGGCAGAGAUAUUUUGGUACUAGCUCUAACUCAUACAGGCCUAAAGGAAAUGGGGGUUAUAAGCAGAGGUUCAAUGGAUCUAACAGAGGUAAUUCUUGGCAAUCCUGGUCAGGAAACACUUCGAAUAGAUUUGAUGCGAUUCCAGAGUGUCAAAUUUGCUCCAGAAAAGGUCAUGUUGCGGUUACAUGUUUGUACAUAAACGAUAAUGGACAGCCAAUACAAGAGUGUCAAAUUUGUGGUAAGAAAGGGCAUAUUGCUCUCAAUUGCAGGCAUAGAAGUAACUAUGCAUAUCAAGGCACUCCACCUCCAGCUUCUUUAUCUGCCAAUUAUGCCAAUCAAGGGUUUCAUCCUCAGAAUCCAUCUUAUGUUUCAUUAUUUCCCACUGCAUCACAGUAUAUCUCUCCAAGCAAUUUCCCUCAAUUUACUCAGUAUUCAACUCAGAAUCCUGCAGUUCCAUAUUCAUUUCAAAUCAUGCCUAAGGGUAAUUUGCCUUCUCCUCAACCUUUCUUUCCAGCAAUGACAGCUCAGAAUUCUAAUGAGUCUGCAGGAGGUGACUCGUGGAUUGUAGACACAGGAGCAUCUCAUCACAUGAGUCCUGAUGUAACUGUCCUAACUCGAGCUGCUCCCUAUGAAGGCACUGAGAAGAUUGUUGUAGGCAAUGGUGAAGGUCUGGACGUUAAACACAUUGGUCAUGGCACUUUGCAAACUCAAUCUCAUAUGUUACAUCUCAAAAACAUACUACAUGUCCCUAUGUUAACUGUUAACUUACUUUCUGUCAAGAAGCUUUGUGCCGAUAAUCACAGUUGGUUUAUUUGUGAUGAAUCACAGUUUUUUGUGCAGGACAAGGCAACAGGGGUGCUUCUACAUCACGGAAAGAGUAGCAAUAAUGAACUAUUCAAGAUUCCAGUCCAUGUUUUUCCAACAGUGAUGAGCUCAGGUGCUAUUUCUCAAGCUUCUGGUUUCUUGGGACAUGCAGUAAAAUCAUCUUUGUGGCAUCAGAGAUUGGGUCAUCCAUCCAAUGACAUUUUAGCUACUAUGCUUAAGCAUUCUAAUAUUUCUUGUACUACUGAUGAUAAUUCUAGUAUCUGUUCACAUUGUAUAAGUGGGAAAAUGAGCAGAUUACCUUUCUUAGACAAGAUAGAUAAAGUUGAUAUCCCAUUUUACAAAAUUCAUAGUGAUGUUUGGGGACCAUCUCCUACUAUUUCUCUGGAAGGCUAUAGAUACUAUGUGUCCUUUAUAGAUGAAGCCACUAGGUUUGUAUGGAUAUUCCCGUUAAUAAAUAAAGCUGCAGUUUUUGGUUCAUUUCUCAAAUUUUGUGCGUAUGUUGACAAUCAGUUUCAUGCUAGAAUUAAGAUUUUACAAACUGAUGGUGGUGGUGAGUUUAUGAGCAAUGUGUUUAAGACUUAUCUGGAUAAUAAUGGAAUAUUGCAUCAUAUAUCUUGUCCCUCCUAUACACCUCAGCAGAAUGGAUUGGCCGAAAGGAAACAUCGGCAUCUCAUUGAAACAGCAAUUACUCUUUUAUCUGUUGCUAAGCUUCCACAAAGGUUUUGGUUUUAUGCGGUUGCACAUGCUGUCUUUCUCAUCAAUCGAAUGCCAUGUAAGAUACUCAAGAUGGACUCUCCGUUUAGUAAGUUGUUUGGUCAGCAACCUGAGUUGGGAUCAUUGAGAGUAUUUGGAUCUGCCAUUUAUCCUUACUUGAGGCCCUAUAAUAUUCAUAAGUUACAACCUAGGUCCACACAAUGUGUAUUUCUAGGUUAUUCUUCCGGAUAUAAGGGUGCUCUUUGCUAUAAUAUAGUGACUGGCAAGGUGAUUAUUUCAAGGCAUGUAUUAUAUGAUGAAAAUUGUUUUCCUUAUAAGGAUUUAGAGCCUAUCAAGAGUUCUAUUCAGUCUCAGUCUCCUGAUAUACAGAGUUCAAGGCCUAUAAUUGUUACACUGCCUUCUCCAGCAUCUAUACCUCACACUGAAUCUUCACAUCAGUUCAAUAGUCCUGGAGUGCAUCACUCAUCUACAUCAACCUCAGCUACUGUUAGUUCUCACAGGUUAUCAUCAUCAUCUCAGGACUCUGGAUCCAAUGCUACAAAUAGUUCAAAUGCUACUCUUUCCAAUUCUACCCCAACGUUGCCUGUCCUCCAAUCCAGCCAGCUUCAGGUUGUUUUACCAAGUCUUGCUUCUCCAAUUGCAAUUCCUUCACAAUCUGAUUCUCUACCACAGGGCAUUCAAACUAGAUUGAAAACUGGUACAAUUUCAAGACAGGAUUAUUCCGCUCUCACUGCCAAUUUUCCUGAAGUGCAGUCCUUAACUUUAAGUGAAAAUAGUCCUUUUUCUGGAGGGUUUACAUUUGUUGCAGAUAUUGUUGAUGCUUCAGAACCUACAACAUUUAAACAAGCUUCUCAGAUUCCUCAAUGGCAGGUUGCCAUGCAAGAAGAAUUUGACGCACUACAAACUCAAGGUACUUGGGUUCUUGUCCCUUCUUCUUCUGGUAAAAAUGUUAUAGGCAGUAAGUGGGUCUAUAAAAUUAAAAGGAAUUCUGAUGGUACAAUAUCUCGAUACAAGGCUAGGCUUGUUACUCAAGGCUUUAGUCAACAGAAAGGUUUGGACUACACAGAGACUUUUAGUCCAGUGGUUAGACACACCACUGUGCGCUUGAUCUUAGCUUUAGCUGCAACACAUAAAUGGGAUCUUAGGCAGCUGGAUGUAAAAAAUGCAUUCCUUCACGGCGACUUGCAAGAGGAGGUUUAUAUGAAACAGCCUAGAGGUUUUGUGCAUCCUGAUUACCCUACACAUGUUUGUAAGUUAGUAAAGUCUUUAUAUGGGCUUAAACAAGCCCCUCGGGCUUGGAAUAAUAAAUUCACCAGUUACUUGCAAGCAGUGGGGUUUCAAGCAUCACUCUCAGAUUCCAGUUUGUUUGUGAAGAAGAGUGGUGAUGAUGUGGUCAUUCUUUUGUUGUAUGUUGAUGAUAUAAUCAUCACAGGAUCUAGCUCUACACUGGUUCAAUCUGUGAUAGACACUUUGGGUGCAGUCUUUGAUCUCAAAGACAUGGGAAAAUUGGCCUAUUUUUUGGGACUUCAAGUGGAAUACAAGAUUAAUGGUGAUAUAUUUGUUAACCAAGCCAAGUAUGUUAAGGAUCUUAUACAUAAGGCUGGGAUGGAUGAUUGCAAGCCUUGUGCAACACCUUGCAAACCUCACAAUCAAGUUCUUACUACUGAGGGUACUCUUCUUUCUGAUCCAACACACUAUAGAAGUUUGGUUGGAGCAUUGCAAUAUCUAACCUUCACUAGGCCAGAUAUUGCAUUUGCUGUUAAUACUGUUUGUCAAUAUAUGAACUCACCAACAGAUGUUCAUUUUGGUAUGGUUAAACGUAUUUUACGAUUUCUGCAAGGGACUCUCCGUUGUGGUCUUACAUAUACAUCAGGGACUUCCAUGGCAUUGUCUGCAUUCAGUGAUUCAGACUGGGCUGCUGAUCUCAACACUUGACGGUCUAUCACAGGAUAUGUUGUUUAUUUGGGGGAAAAUCCGAUAUCUUGGCAAUCAAAGAAGCAAGCUUCUGUUUCAAGGAGUUCUACCGAGGCAGAGUAUAGGGCUCUUGCACAUACAGCUGCUGAUAUAGCAUGGAUCAGGCUCAUUCUUCGAGAUGUCCACCAGUUCCUGUCUUCACCUCCCUUAAUUCAUUGUGAUAAUCAGUCGGCCAUAGCACUUAGCUUGAAUCCAGUUCAGCGUUCUCGGAUCAAACAUUUGGAAACUGACUUCCAUUUUGUUCGAGAGAGGGUAUAGAAGGGUGACUUGGUGAUUCAAUAUGUUUCAACAAAAGAUCAGGUUGCUGAUGUUCUCACGAAAGGUCUUCAUGGUCCUGAUUUCCUUCACCAUUGUUUCAAUCUUAAGCUUGCCUAUCCCAGCUAAGAUUGAGGGGGGGUAUUGGAUAUAUAUGCCAGGUGUAUUGGAUAUGAUGAUAGGUGUAUUGAAUGUAUGCUAGGUCAUUAAAGACUGCCACAUCAGCAGCAGCUUAGGACAUAGACCAUUGUUUGGUGAACCGCCUAUAUAGAGUAAUAGCUCCUUGUAUUAGAUAAGUUUGGUUGUAAUAACAGUUUUUUGAGAUAUCAGAAAUACAUCUUUCUUCUCCUCUAAGCUUCUUCGUGCUUUUCAAUUCUGCAAUUCUUUCAUGAAGGUUAAGA